UAUUAGAGUCUAGUUCACUAGCCCUUAAAACAUACUAAAAAGAACAAAAGUUUGAACUUUGUAUUAAGAUUUGAGACUAAACCAUAAAAAAAAGAAGGGUACAAGUAAGUAGUCGCAUGACCCUACCCCGUUGACGAUAAAUGUAAAAGGAAACAAAGACUAAUAACCAAAUCACAAACAGUUAAAAUAAAAAAUAGAGAGCCCGUUUGGACUUGAGAGGAAGUGUUGGAAAUUAAGAAGUCCCAGAAAGGUAGGAACAUGGAAAACUAAGGUGUUUAUAAGUGAUGGAGAGUUUGAGUCCAUCGGUAUGAAGUUUUGGACCGUUGGACCUCCUGCACUUAAGAACACCAACUAGCGUACUAAAUUACCUCACUCCAUUGGGUAUGUAUGUGCAAUAAUUCAUCAGAUGGACAAUCCUAGAAGGAAAAUGCCAACUACUACUACCGGUGCAUGAAAAAGGCCCUAUCAGAGCAAUCAGAAAUUUGCAUCAAGGAGGAGUGUUGGAGAUGUGAUGCAAAUUUGUAAAGAAAAUAGGCUAAACACUUAUCUAGAAUGUGGCAAAUGUACUACUGAUAAUCAAAUCAAAUUUAAAAAUGUUAUGAAAAUCCUACAAACAUGUAUUUCUAGAACAAUCUCCAAAACCUAUAAAUGAGCAACAUUGAAAUGAAAGUGAGUAUGAAUUUGUUGAGUAGCUAAAAGAGAGAGAGAUAUAUAUAUAUAUAUACCUUGAAUUGUUAUUAU
rnacentral:lncRNA from 1 species